GACGAACGCUGGCGGCGUGCUUAACACAUGCAAGUCGAACGGAAAGGCUCCAGCUUGCUGGAGUACUCGAGUGGCGAACGGGUGAGUAACACGUGGGUAAUCUGCCCUGCACUCUGGGAUAAGCCUGGGAAACUGGGUCUAAUACUGGAUAUGAUCUUUCUCCUUAUGGGGUUUGGUGGAAAGUUUUUCGGUGUAGGAUGAGCCCGCGGCCUAUCAGCUUGUUGGUGGGGUGAUGGCCUACCAAGGCGACGACGGGUAGCCGGCCUGAGAGGGUGAUCGGCCACAUUGGGACUGAGAUACGGCCCAGACUCCUACGGGAGGCAGCAGUGGGGAAUAUUGCACAAUGGGCGGAAGCCUGAUGCAGCGACGCCGCGUGAGGGAUGACGGCCUUCGGGUUGUAAACCUCUUUCAGCAGGGACGAAGCGUAAGUGACGGUACCUGCAGAAGAAGCACCGGCUAACUAUGUG
rnacentral:rRNA from 1 species